CAGGGCGUCUAAACAUUUUAAUUGUAUUAAUUUAUGAUAUUUGAAUAGAAAGUCCUUUCCCAUGUUUAACAGGCAAACAUUUCAAGACCUAAAAUUACAGUGUCCACCUGUGUUUUUCUUUUUACACAUGUCAAACUAAGGAUGAUUUACAUAGUGUUAUAAAACCAAUAAAGACCUUGAUCUUUCAAUUUACUCUACAAAGUAGCCUCUAAUUUACCGAUUUAAAAUUCAUAAUGAUUUAUUCAAACUGUAUACUUAAUAAAUUGGUUAAAUGAAGUUCAAUUCCGCUGAUUAUAAUAAUGUAAACAUCAGACUAUAUCUUAUAUACAUAUAAACAUCGUAACAGUCAUUAUAGCUGGACAAUGGUCAGUUUAUGGUCAGAUGGCCAGGUAGAAAGAAUUGUCAACAAAGGUUGAAGAUGUUAUAAUGAAGUGUCCCUAGCUUGCCCCAGGGUUUGACGACACAUUGUCCGUUUCUGAUAACUGUAUCAUCUGUAAACUCCCUAAGAUAAUGUCCAAUAAGUACAAAUUUUAUCAUAUUAAUCUCAUGGAUAGUGUCAUUUUCUUUACCUCUGAUCAUAUACUGGACAAUAAAAUCAAUUGGGAAGAUUUAAAAAAAUUAUUAUCAUGAUUAUGAUACUGGAUCUUAAAAUUUUCCUAAUAAUUUUU
rnacentral:lncRNA from 1 species